AUACGAAGGGGGCUAGCGUUGUUCGGAAUUACUGGGCGUAAAGCGCGCGUAGGCGGACUGAUCAGUUGGGGGUGAAAUCCCAGGGCUUAACCCUGGAACUGCCUCCAAUACUGUCAGUCUUGAGUUCGGGAGAGGUGAGUGGAAUUCCUAGUGUAGAGGUGAAAUUCGUAGAUAUUAGGAAGAACACCAGUGGCGAAGGCGGCUCACUGGCCCGAUACUGACACUGAGGAGCGAAAGCAUGGGGAGCAAACAGGAUUAGAAACCCUAGUAGUCC
rnacentral:rRNA from 1 species